rnacentral:rRNA from 1 species
GAUGAACGCUGGCGGCGUGCUUAACACAUGCAAGUCGAACGGAAAGGCUCCUGCUUGCAGGGGUACUCGAGUGGCGAACGGGUGAGUAACACGUGGGUGAUCUGCCCUGCACUUCGGGAUAAGCCUGGGAAACUGGGUCUAAUACCGGAUAGGACGAUGGUUUGGAUGCCAUUGUGGAAAGUUUUUUCGGUGUGGGAUGAACUCGCGGCCUAUCAGCUUGUUGGUGGGGUAAUGGCCUACCAAGGCGUCGACGGGUAGCCGGCCUGAGAGGGUGUACGGCCACAUUGGGACUGAGAUACGGCCCAGACUCCUACGGGAGGCAGCAGUGGGGAAUAUUGCACAAUGGGCGCAAGCCUGAUGCAGCGACGCCGCGUGGGGGAUGACGGCCUUCGGGUUGUAAACUCCUUUCGCUAGGGACGAAGCGCAAGUGACGGUACCUGGAGAAGAAGCACCGGCUAACUACGUG